GGGGGUGACAGAGGUGUGCUUGAGAAAAUGAUACCGAUUAAAAUAUGCUUGUGAAUAUGAAACAGAAAACGUCGUUCUGCAAACAUCGUCGAAAACAUCGUCGCCUGCAGAAAGAUAACACGCGAUGGAUAGAUAACGGCGGAAGUUAUCGCUGCUCAAUUAGUUCCUGAUGCGUAGCAAGUGGGAAUAACACCGGGAUUACGUGUGCGUAUCAAAGACAGCGCAUGCGCUCGUAGUAAUCGAGUGCCGUGCAAGAGCUCUAGUUUGGCAACGGUUCAACAGGAGCAACCUUUGCCGUAGCAUGACUCAUAAUGCCGCGUAGGUACGGCGCUCAUCUCUCGUUAUAUCUCGUUCGAGUGAGAUAGAAUCAGGUACAGAGAGAAGCGGCACCGGCAGCCGUGUAAAGUUACAUCGGCGUAAGUGAUGCAAGGGUCCGUCGCAGCUCUGUAGCUUCAUCAAGAGCUCGUUUGAUGAUAUUCAGGUAUAAAAGCAUCAAGCAUCCAUCGGCUGGUCGCAAAACCUGUCUGGUCUCCGUGAUCACCAGCUCAGCGACGCAACCACCUUAUACAGGCGCCGCCAUGAACGCAGUUCUCUUCACUGUCCUCCUUGGUUUGGUCUCUGCCGCCUCUGCCGGCUUCAUCGGUGGGUACGAUGGUGGCGACGACGCAGGACUCGGUGCCGGCGACGGUGCUGGCCAUAGCUAUCGCUACUGGGUCGGUAAUAGCCCUGGCGCUGGCUCCGGCUCUGGCGCCGGCUCUGGCUCUGGUUCCGGCUCCGGUUCUGGCUCCGGCUCAGGCUCCGGCUCUGGCUCCGGCUCAGGCUCUGGCUCUGGCUCCGGUUCUGGCUCCGGCUCUGGCUCCGGCUCUGGCCGGGGCUAGGGCUCCGGCCCCGGCUCAGGCUUCUGCUUUGGCUCUGGCGCUGGCCACGGCUCGGCCGGCCAGCGAGCCGUCACUGCCCGUCCUGUCGUGGUCUGUUCCUGACUCAUCAAAAGAAGUCAUUAAGCAUCAUUGCUUUAUUAUGUAUUCGCGAUUUCUGCUCGUUAGGGCGAGUAAGUCGCCAUGGCUGGAAAUCGCGAGUGUCCAUGUUCUGAGCAUGAUGCAAUAUUAGAAUUAGACAAGGAACUAUGAAAGCAAAAUUAGAAGAGGAACUAUGAAAGCAAUUAUACGAAAAACAAGCUUACUCUCACCAUAAUUUACUGAAAGAUGAGGGCUGCUUAUCUGUUAAGCACAAAAACACAAGGAUUAAAGACCAGCUGGCAUGAGUCACCAGAAGAAAUAAAGACAAGAGUUAUUUCAACGCGGUCAGAGAAUUCAUUUCAGCGAACUUGAUUUCCGCGCAGUUUUCCUUGAGGGUUUUACCGUUGACCAUGCGUAUUUUUUUAAGUUGCAUAUUUUAUCAAUUUUGCAAUCUCUUUUUUUUAUUUCACUUUUAGCUUUAUCUCACUUCACGUGUGCUGCCGCUCAUCCCAUUUUGUGAGACCAUAUCCGGAACAUUUAUCCUGCCAGUUACUGAUAGGACAUUGUGUGCGGUUUUGUAUGUUUUCGUUUGUCUCACGUGGUUCCUUUGAUACAGAAACAUGUUUUAUACUUACCUUCAGUAAUAGAUAGCCUUAUAUCUCGCCAGAAGUGAGAGGAAGGACACUUAUAAAAGGCGGUGCUCACGAAUAAAAUUGAAGCUGGUGGUUCAGCGCUUAUCUUGAGUGUGCUUGUCUCUCCGCUUUCGUCAUUUCGUGCUGUCUAGCUUAACGUAUACGUCGUGCCAACUUGUCCAACAAGGGUACUCCAAUGCGGACACAAUCGUCACAUCAUUAAGAUUCCGGGACAGGCAGACAAGGUAUCAUUGCGUCUGCAGUCCGUUCGGACACUUCGACAUGGCGUCCAAAGCUGAAUCGGGACGCCAUUUACGUCGACAGUGAUCUUACAUGGGACGUUGGUACAGGCUUAUUACAAAGAAAAACUGCUUUUGAAUGGAACGUAUCAAAGCGGUGACCAUCAACCAUAAUUCUCAUUCGUACAGAGAAAGGCUAUUUGCAUGCUGUUAUGAAAAAAAUUGAUGAAAUAAUGAUUGAGAAUUGUUUGUGAGUUGUAAACGUGUCAUGUCCUCGCGAUGACGGCAUGUGAGUAGCCUUUCACUAUCUGAAUAACCACUACGGUUCUAGUCAACGCUCCGGUUUGUUGUUUCCUGUUACCUAGUCCAAAAUCGCUGUUUGUUCACACAAGGGAAGCUAUUAGUGCAGAUCUCGUGGUUACCGGCCGCGUAAGUCGUAGCGUUUACCGGUGUUAGGAGUCGCAUGGUCGCACUUUUGUUUUUGUUGUUGUUUAAUAAAUGAUCAGGCCACGGGAAAAUAGGCCCACGAACAGCCAGCUGUUCAAAUUAUCCAAAAUAAGCUCCAACGACAGAGGCAUGUAGAAAAAAAAAGGAAACAAAGAAACAGUGGGCAGAAAUAAAAGCUUAAAGCACAAAUAGCGGAGCAAUAGAUCAUCCUUAACUCAGGCACAGCGUGCUGCACCAUAUGCAUGUUUCGAACUUUAAUUGAAUGAAAAAGCAACUACAGGCUUGGUGAUGAUGAUGGUGAUGAUUUAUUGGCAUCCCCAUUAAAACGGGGCGGCGACAAAUAGUCACCUAGCCUGCUUGAUUAAUCAGCU
rnacentral:lncRNA from 1 species